rnacentral:rRNA from 1 species
CCUAAAAUCUAGCCCACCCCACCCUACAACUUACAUAUUCAAAUAAAACAUUUUUAUUUUCUAGUAAAGGUGAUUGAAAAACUCAUAGGCGCUUCAGACCCAGUACCGCAAGGGAACGAUGAAAUAUUAGUGAAAUAUUAAAGCCCUCAUAGCAAAGCUUAACUCUUGUACCUUUUGCAUCAUGGUUAUUCAAGUCUAAUCAGACAAAGCCUAACCUUAAGCCUGCCCCCCCGAAACUGGAUGAGCUACUUUAGAACAAUCUUCAGGAUGAACCCGUCUCUGUUGCAAAAGAGUGGGAAGAUUUUAAAGUAGAAGUGAAAAGCUUAUCGAACCCAGAGAUAGCUGGUUAUUCAAGAAAAGAAUUUUAGUUCUACCUUAAGUUUUGCUAUUAACACAAACAGCACCCUAAACUUAAGAGCUAUUCAAAUAAGGGAUAGCUUAUUUGACUCAGGACACAACCUCAUACAAAGGGUAAUAUAUCAAAUGCUUAUUAAGUUGGCCUAAGAGCAGCCNNNNNNNNNNNNNNNNNNNNNNNNNNNNNNNNNNNNNNNNNNNNNNNNNNNNNNNNNNNNAAAGCCACUAUGCCUAAACUAGUAAUAAGAAUAUGAAAUUCUCCUUAAUGUAAGCCUAAGCCGUAAUGGACCGCCCAACGGCAAUUAAAGUUAAUAAACCCAUUAUAAUAACUACCAUAAAAAACUUAUAAUAAUAAACGUUAACCUAACACAAGAACAUUAUAGGAAAGAUUAAAAGGGGGAGAAGGAACUCGGCAAAUUUUAAUCCCGCCUGUUUACCAAAAACAUCGCCUCUUGUUAAAUUAUAAGAGGUCCAGCCUGCCCAAUGACUUCUUAAAUGGCCGCGGUAUCCUAACCGUGCUAAGGUAGCACAAUAACUUGUUCUUUAAAUGAGGACUUGUAUGAAUGGCAUCACGAGGAUUACACUGUCUCCUCCCCCCAAUCAGUGAAACUGACCUCCCUGUGAAAAGGCAGGGAUUAUACUAUAAGACGAGAAGACCCCAUGGAGCUUCAGACUAAGAGCACAUCUGACCCCUACUCCACUUAAAACCCCGGAUCCCUGACUCCCAGUCUUAGGUUGGGGCGACCGUGGAGUAUAAUUAAACCUCCAUGCUGAACGGACAAAUCCUAAUCUAAGAGUUACAACUCUAAGAAUCAAAAAACUGACAGCUACUGAUCCGAAAUUCGAUCAACGAACCAAGUUACCCUGGGGAUAACAGCGCUAUCUACCUUGAGAGUUCAUAUCGACAGGUGGGUUUACGACCUCGAUGUUGGAUCAGGGUAUCCCUGUGGUGCAGCCGCUACAAGUUCGUUGGUCAA